CUACCGCCUCGGCCUGCCCGGCGCGCAUCGCGCUGCUCACCGCUCCCCGCCUCCUUUCGGGCUCCGAGAGCACCUCAGGGAAGAUGCUUCUGGGCGUCUGGGACCUGAACCAUUCGUACCUCUGUCCACUCUGGAGCUACAAGGCACCAGGCCUGCUGGUGAGGAUGUCCCAGCGCUCUACCUGACAACUAGCUUUGUCUCUUGUGGUCGGCUUGACAAUGGGAGCAAAUAUGGAAACUCCUCCCAGCUUCUGCCACGGGCCUCUAGAUCAGCGGCCAGCCUUUGCCAUCGUUCCCAAGCAACAAGCAGCAGCCAGACAGGUAUCACCCCUGUCUGUAGGAGUUCUCUCAAGUGAGCAAUGUUAGACAGGAGUUAGCUAGAUGAAAGGAGUUAAGUGGAAGGCACAUGAGGGACCAUUCCCUCCACCCUUUUUUUUUUUUUUUUGGUUUUUUGAGACAGGGUUUCUCUGUAGCUUUGGAGCCUGUCCUGGAACUAGCUCUUAAAGACCAGGCUGGCCUCAAACUCACAGAGAUUCACCUGCCUCUGCCUCCCGAGUGCUGGGAUUAAAGUCGUGCACCACCACUGCCCGGCUUCCCCUAUUUUUUUUUUAUACAUAGAGCAUAGUCAUCUCUCUGGUUGUAUCCAGGGAACAUGCAUAGGGCAUGCAGACUCCUCAGGAUGUGCUCGAAAGUGACUAUCUUACUGAGGGCUUCUGUUGCUGUGAAGAGACACCGUGACCACAGCAACUCUUAUGAGAGAAACACAUUUAAUUAGGGUGGCUUAUAUUCUCAGAGGUUUAGCUUAUGAUCAUCGUGGUGCAACAGGGUAGCAUGCAGGCAGACAUGGUGCUGGUGAUGAAAACCCUACAUUUUGAUAGACAGGCACUAGGAAGUGGUCUGUUACACUGGGUGGGAUCUUGAGUGUAGGAGAUCUCAAAGCUCACCCCCAUAAUGAGACACUUCCUCCACCCCUACUCGAAUGAGGCCUCACCUCCUAAUAGUGCCACUUCCUUUGGGGGCCAUUCUCUUUCAAACCACCACAGUGACCAAUCUUCAUAACACAAAGAAAAAAGAAAGGAAGAAAAGAAGAAAGAAAGAAAGAAAGAAAGAAAGAAGGAAGAAAAUGUGAAAUUGGUGUUUCCUUAAGAAAAGCUGGACAAACUAUACAUGUGUGUUUCUACAACACGGAAACAUCAUGUCUGAACCCUGGAUCCUCACUUAGGGUGCUGUGGUGGUUUGAAUGAGAACCUCCCUAGGCUCAUGUGUUUGAAUGCUCGGUCCCAGUUGGUAGAAUUAUUUUGGAAAGAUUAGAAGGUAUGACCUUGCUAGAGGAAGUAUGUCACUAGGGCCAUGCUUGGAGAGCAAAAGAGACACACCUGACUCUCUGCCUCCUGAUUGCAAUUCAAGAUGUGAGCUCUCAGCUGCUGCCCCAGCCCACCAUGGACUCCAACCCUCUGAAGUUUACAUCCAAAAU